rnacentral:lncRNA from 1 species
AGACUAGAUGAAUUACUUACGAAUUUUAGAAGAUUAACUGUGUUUUUAAACUGAACAGAAAAACCUUAAUGAAUUAUUGCGCAGUUAAUUGGAGAGAUGAUGUCAGCAUAGAGCAGAUAGGAGGCUGACAUCCAGGGCCCACAGGGCAGUGACUCAAGGAAAAGGGAAAGAGGCUGGCAGUGGGACCCACGGGGAAAGAGAGAAAGGGAGAAGAGCUGUUGGGCGGGGCCCACGGACCAGUGAGAGAGAGGGACAGACAGGUGGGGCCCACCGGGCGGUGGCACAAAACAGGGGAGAGGGGAGAUCGGCUUGGCCGAGGCAGAUGUAGGAGGCGACUGGGCGGCGGCGAUCGGCGACCAGCGACGGCGGCGGGGUCUGGUGACCAGCGGAGGCAGACGCCCAGCG